GAUGCAUGCUGCUUAUAAUAGUUAGUUGCUUCCAGAGGAAACACAUAUUCAAACAGACAAGAUUAGCUAUGACAGUUGCCUGGUAAUAUUUUUUAUUUUAUUAGGCUUCGUUUGGAAUGAUUAUUAUAAUUUGGUAUAUGAUAGAGAGCUUGGGCUGUGUUCUCACAUUAUUCAAGCAAUCGACGAGACCAAUUUUGGGACGAAUCGGUUUAUUGAUCGUAUUGCAUGGACACCAUAUUAUUUUAGGCAAAUAAACUGGAAGCAGACUCAAAACGAUAAGGAAAGAGCUCGAAGAACCAACUGAAGUGGAAAGUGAACUGAAACGAAGACUUGACCAGCUAACUAACCAUCU